rnacentral:rRNA from 1 species
GAUGAACGCUGGCGGCGUGYUUAACACAUGCAAGUCGAACGGGGAACAAAUUAUUGAAGCUUCGGCAGAUYUAGCUUGUUCCUAGUGGCGGACGGGUGAGUAAYGCGUGGGUAACCUSCCUCACACUGGGGGAUAACAGUCAGAAAUGGCUGMUAAUWCCGCAUAAGCGCACAGUACCGCAUGGUACAGUGUGAAAAACUCCGGUGGUGUGAGAUGGACCCGCGUUGGAUUAGCUAKUUGGCAGGGCAGCGGCCUACCAAGGCGACGAUCCAUAGCCGGCCUGAGAGGGUGAACGGCCACAUUGGGACUGAGACACGGCCCAGACUCCUACGGGAGGCAGCAGUGGGGAGUAUUGCACAAUGGGGGAAACCCUGAUGCAGCGACGCCGCGUGAAGGAAGAAGUAUCUCGGUA